UACGGAAUGUGCAACCGUUAUUCGGAAUCACUGGGCUUAAAGAGUCCGUAGGCGGCUUGUUAGGUGAGGUGUGAAAUCCCCCGGCUCAACCGAGGAAUUGCGCUUCAAACCGGCAAGCUUGAGGAGGAUAGAGGUGGGCGGAACUGAUGGUGGAGCGGUGAAAUGCGUUGAUAUCAUCAGGAACACCGGAGGCGAAAGCGGUCCACUGGGUCCUUUCUGACGCUGAGGGACGAAAGCUAGGGGAGCGAACGGG
rnacentral:rRNA from 1 species